CCGACCUCCUCGCCCCGCCCCCUCCGUCCCGCCCGGGCUGCUCGCCCCGCCCCCGCGCGGCGCUGGGAGGCGGGAGCUGUCUCUGAGAACCUGCGGGAGAGCGCCCGGGCUUGCUGCUUCCCGGACCCGCGCGUCUCUCGAGCACCCUCGUCCCACCACCUUGUGAGGCCGUAGUGUUAUUUUUAUUUUUUAGAUCAGCAGACUGAGACUCGAGGUGACGUCACUCCGCAGAGAGGUUAGCUGACUUGAAGAAAACGGAAUGUCUGCAUUGGAAUCGCCUCACCUCCUUUUACCGCUGGAGAAGCCGACGGACAGACGGGCAGCGACCCCCGCCGUCGCACAACCCGUCUAGGCAGAGAGCGCAGGAGACGGGAGGGCGGCAGGGACACAUCUCCCAGCCAAGGACCUCCUGGGCCCGCAGAGGCCGCGACAGGUUCCCCCCACAGAGGGAACCAACUCUGCCGCAGGUUGAUGUGGACUUCAAGCCUGCAGAACGGAGAGCCCAUUUCCAUUGCUUAAAGCCACCUCGUGUGUGGUAUUUGUUAUGGUCCCUGUACACUCCCUUCCCUCCCUCUCCCAAGUCCAGUCCGCAGCUCGCUCAUCACCAGGCUCUUUUCCAUGACUCUUUCUUGAUCAGGCCUUUUUAUCGUCCUCACCACAGGUUAGAGCACAGCAGACUGAGCCACCCAGAACUGGCCCCUCCGGUGGACCAGCCCCUGCGGAUUCACAGACCACUGGUCCUGGAAGGGACCUUGUCAAGCAGGCCCAUAAGGUAAUCCCUCCCCGGAAAGAGAAGAUCACAGAUUUUGUCAUAUUAAAUACAUUGUAGAAAUUCAUGGUAGCAGGGGCAAGAUCAUUUAAACAAAACAGAAAGUUUCAGAGAGAGAAAAAGCCAAGGACAAAGAUUAAUCAUUUUUCUGCUUAAAAAAAAUGGCUUUGAUUUGCAACCAUGGAAUGCUCCACUGUUUCUCUUCUCUUCAAAGACAUCUACUGAAAGGAUUCCUUAACCUUACCAAGUGGCCAAAAUACUUUUCUGAGAAGAGUCACAGAGCAUAGGCCCCCCUAGGGUACACAGAGAUUUCAUUAGUCCCUAGAUGUUUCCUGAUCCUUUUAAAAACUGGUUAAAUUCAGAGACUCUAGGCAAUUACUUCUUUCAGAACCUGUGAGGCAAAAACGAAAGAAGAAGGCAGGACACGCAGUGUAACAAACCUUGGAAUGGACUUCGCCAGACUUCAUCAGAAGAAAGCAGUGCAAGAGGGGACUGCAGAGGAAAGCUGGGGCUUGGGAAACCAGCAGCAGGGGCCACGUGGGCAGGUGGUUUCUGUGUGAACCUCUGAUCUGUGCAACAUAAACAGGAAAUGUUGAAGGCUUCCAGUGCUCUUUUUUGAUGUCGAGAACAUUCUACGGCACAAAAGAGUUUGCCUCUCACUGUUUCUCAUAUAUGGAGGUUUUCUAAUCAGCAUCCUGAACAGAAUUGAAUUAAAAAUAAAAACCAAAGUAAAACUAGC
rnacentral:lncRNA from 1 species